AAACCCAUAUGAGAAGAAGAUUUUCUAGACAUUUCUUAGCCAUGAUAGCAUAAGUGUUUUGAAGCUCUUCUUGAUUUUUUUCUUCCCCAAGAUCGUGUCUCUGAUGUUGCGGUCUAUGAGCUUGUAGAUCGUUGGAGGAGUUGAGGAGAUUCCCUGGUGUAGGCGUUUAUUCCGCUCUGCCCAAAUGUUGUAGAUAGUUGCAUGAGCAACCAGCUUCUUGAGAAUCAAAGGAGUAGUGGAGUCCUUUAGAGAAAUCCAU
rnacentral:lncRNA from 1 species